rnacentral:rRNA from 1 species
UUGGACAAUGGGCGAAAGCCUGAUCCAGCAAUGCCACGUGAGUGAAGAAGGCCUUAGGGUUGUAAAGCUCUUUUACCCGGGAUGAUAAUGACAGUACCGAGAGAAUAAGCUCCGGCUAACUCCGUGCCAGCAGCCGCGGUAAU